rnacentral:misc_RNA from 1 species
GAUGAAGAACGUAGUGAAAUGCGAUAAUUAAUGUGAAUUGCAGAAUUCAGUGAAUCAUCGAGUCUUUGAACGCACAUUGCGCCCCCUGGUAUUCCGGGGGGCAUGCCUGUCCGAGCGUCAUUGCUGCCCUCAAGCCCGGCUUGUGUGUUGGGCCUCGUCCCCCCUCCGGGGGACGGGCCCGAAAGGCAGCGGCGGCACCGUGUCCGGUCCUCGAGCGUAUGGGGCUUUGUCACCCGCUCUGUAGGCCCGGCCGGCGCCUUAGCCGACGACACAAUCUUUUUUUUCAGGUUGACCUCGGAUCAGGUAGGGAUACCCGCUGAACUUAAGCAUAUCAAUAAGCGGAGGA